rnacentral:lncRNA from 1 species
UAAUAUGCUUUGAACAUCAGGAGACCUAAGAGAUGUCCACAGUCCUGCUCAGUCUUCUCAUAAAUUUCUCAUCUUGAAGCGUCUUUCAAAGAUCCUAGCUGUGUAAGUGUAGAUUCUGCAAUCAGAAGAUGCCAGGAUUAUUUGGGUCUCAAAUUCAAGGCAAAUUUACAUUAAGUGGCAGAACCUGCAACUCAAGCUUCAGCGAACGUGAUGGGAAUAAGGAGAGAUUGUUAACAUGUUGGAUUCAUUUGAAGCACUUUUCACUUUAUAAUUUUUCACAUUUUUCUUGCUUAUUGUCUGUCACACUCACGUUGGACUAUGAGCUCUACUGGUGACAGAAAAUACAACUAUUUUUCUUAGUAAUUUAUACGCAGAAAUUAAGUCUAGCACAGAGUUGACACUUAAAAAAAUAUUACUGAAAUGACUGACUGAAGGAUGCGGGGAAAAGUGAAUGCAGAGAAAAAUGAGUGCACCUGGCGAGUAACAGGGAGAGGAAGAAAAGCUGGUGGAAUCCAUCAGCAAAGGUGCAGGUCCCCAUUCUGUGACAAGUCCACCUGAGUAACAAGAGGAAGACUGGCCCUGAGCUAACGUCCAUGCCCAUCUUCCUCUACUUUAUAUGUGGGAUGCCUACCACAGCAUGGCUUGCCAGGCAGUGCCAUGUCCGCACCAGGGAUCCCAACUGGCAAACCCCGGCCGCCGAAGCGGAACGUGCGCACUUAACUGCUGCACCACCCACCAGCCCCUGAAGAAACCUUUCAACGGAAGGAGAUGGGAGAACAGCAAAGAGAUCAGAAAAGUAUUGGAAGCUCCUUGAAAGCAGAGCCCAUGUAUUACAACUUUGUAUCCUAUCUCAAUUCUUAGCACAUGAAAGAUGGCUGCAAAUUGGAAUUCCUAUUUUCUGAAAUUGCCUCCUGACUUUGCCCUAGAACUAUCCUAUUUUGUAAUGGGCCUGCAAUCUGCCUCUGAAUGGAAGUCAUGGAAAGGAUCAAAAAUGACUGACCAGCGUUGGUGGAGUUUGGGUUUUUUUUAAAUAAUAGUAGGUAUUAAUGUAGCACACUGUAUUUGUAGUGCUUUGAAAUAAAUAUCACAAUAUUAUAUGUAAAUAUACAUAUAACCAAACACAUAUAAGCUAACAAUUCAUUAAAAU